GGCACUGUGGCUGAGUGGUAAAGCGCUUAGCUUUCAAAUCGAGGUGUCCCUGGUUCAAACCCAGGUGAAGACU
rnacentral:tRNA from 1 species